rnacentral:rRNA from 1 species
UAUGUGAUCGUCUCUUGCAUAUCAAUAAGCGGAGUAAAAGAAACUAACAAGGAUUCCCCUAGUAACGGCGAGUGAAGCGGGAAGAGCUCAAAUUUGAAAUCUUAAAGGGUUUCCCUUUACGAAUUGUAGUUUAAAGAAGUGUUUUCUGUUGAGGUUUUGGUAAAAGUUCUUUGGAAUAGGACAUCAUAGAGGGUGAGAAUCCCGUAUUUGACCUUUACUUUCAACUUUGUGAUACACUUUCAAAGAGUCGGAUUGUUUGGGAAUGCAGUCCAAAAUGGGUGGUAAAUUUCAUCUAAAGCUAAAUAUUGGCGAGAGACCGAUAGCGAACAAGUACCGUGAGGGAAAGAUGAAAAGAACUUUGAAAAGAGAGUUAAACAGUACGUGAAAUUGUCAAAAGGGAAGCGUUUGACACCAGUGUUGUUUUUCUGAAAAUCAAUUAAAGAACUGUUUAUGCUAAGCUGUUUAGACUUUAUCAGCUAACUGUUUAGCUUUGAGCUUUUCUUUAAUGCACUUUUCAGUUAACAAGUCAACAUCAAUUUCUUUUGCUGUAAAAAAGCUUGAGGAAGGUGGCUUGAGAUUCGUCUUAAGUGUUUAUAGCCUCUUGCCUAUGCAGUCGGAGAGAUUGAGGUCUGCAGCGUAGAUCCUUCGGGGCUAAAUGCAUUUGUGCUAAGUUAUAGCAUUUUAUAGACAACUUGUUGACUAUGAUUUGUCUUGUAGCUUACUCGCUUAUGUUAUUUUACCUACGCUUAGGAUGUUGAGUAGCGACAUACGCAC